rnacentral:rRNA from 1 species
UACGUAGGGUGCAAGCGUUAUCCGGAAUUAUUGGGCGUAAAGAGCUCGUAGGCGGUUUGUCGCGUCUGCUGUGAAAACUGGAGGCUCAACCUCCAGCCUGCAGUGGGUACGGGCAGACUAGAGUGCGGUAGGGGAGAUUGGAAUUCCUGGUGUAGCGGUGGAAUGCGCAGAUAUCAGGAGGAGCACCGAUGGCGAAGGCAGAUCUCUGGGCCGUGACUGACGCUGAGGAGCGAAAGCAUGGGGAGCGAACAGG